UUAAUAAAAUUAAAAAUAAAAAUACGUGAUUUUUUAUUUUAUUUUUCGUUUAAUUUUUUAAAAUUAAUAAUAGCGUAUAAAAUAUAUUUUUAUUAUUACCGCCCCUUGCCCCCGUUUCGCCGUCGGCGUAAUCCGGCCAAAAUUUUAUUUGGGUUAUUUGCGUUUUAUUUUCGCGGGCAAAUAAAAUUCCGGCGAUUUCGCGGUUUAUUAUAAAACGAACCCGUUUUUUGGACGGUAUUACAAAUGCGUUUCCGGGUAUUUUUGCGAAAAAAUUCCCGCCCCCGCCCGUCCUUUUACCGUCCGUUUUUUGGCGGUUAUAGCCAAAAACGAUAAAAUUAUAUAUUAUAAUAUUUGUUAUUUUUUUUCUAAUAUUAACGUAUAUUUUAAACGAUUGCCAAAUGGCGCCCCGUUAUUAAAAAAAUAUUGGAAAUUUGGGAGGAGGAAAAAAAGGGUAAUAAUAUUACCGUGGCGGUUAUAUUGGCCGAAAAAAAGGAGGAAAUUAAACGGGCCGUUUUGCGGUUUGUAAAAAUUUUAUUUUAAUAUAUUGGGCGUUUUUGCGUAUUUUUUUCGGGGGUUGAAAAAUCGUUAUUUUUAUUUUCCGGGUUUUUUUUAGGGGGUAAAUGUUAAUUUAUACGUUAUAUUUUAUUCGUAUUUUGGACUUUUUCGUAAUUUUCCCUGGCAAUUUUUUAUUUAUUACGUUAAACCCAAUUUUUUAUACGUACCCGGAAUUUGUUCGUGGAAAUUAAUUUUUCCAAAACGUUAUUGGGGUGUUUUUUCGUUAUUAUAUUUGCGGGAUUAUUAAAUCCGUUAAUUUAUUUAAUUUUUUAAAUUUUACGGUUUUUAUAUAAUUGUUUAAUUACCAAAAUAUCGAUUAUUAAUUUUUUUUCCAACAUAAUACCUAAUUAUACCAAAUAUUUGUAUAAUAAUUUCGAAUUUGUGUAAAUUACUAAUUUUGGGCUCGGCAGGUUAAUUUGCUAAUAAAUUGUUCCGAAUAUUUGUGCGAAUACAUAAUUUAAAUUUAAAUUAUUUAUUAUCCCGUAUAUUUCGUUAGCUACAUUGCUACAAAUAAUACGGUUGCAUUUAACGGAAAAUUAAUAUAUAAUAUUAUUUUGAAUUUUAAAGCCGGCGUUAUUUUCGGUAUUAAUUUCGGUGCCGAAUAUAAUUAAAUAGCCGAUUUGAGAAUUUAUAUUUACUAGGUUGGCCAACGACCCGUUAACAAAUACGUAUAAUUUGGUUUUUUCUAUAUUUAACGGUAUAAAUAUUAAAUCCCGUAAUUUAUUAUUAAAUUGCUAUUAUAUGCGUUUGUUAAACGUUUUAAUUUUUAUAUCCGUGGGUUUUUUAAUUUAUUUAACCACGGAUAAAUCGAAAACUACUUUUGGUUAAUAAAUCGUGGCAAUAUAUACUUUUUUAAUACGUUAAACUACGUAUUAUUAUUGGCGAUUAAUUGCCCCGAUUUUUACCUGCUCCAAACGAUUUAUUUAUUCCUUUUAUUAUAUUAUAAUAAUGCCGUUUUUUAGCGUUAUUUUGCAACCGUUAAAAUUUUUUAUAUUACCCUUUUGCAAAACUUUUUGGGGUUUUGCAAAAGGUUUUAUUCGUUGGAAUUUUGUUUUUUCCGUUAUAAAAAAAUUUGGAUUGUCCAAAUUUAAUAUAUUAUCCGUUUAAAGUCCGACAAACCCAAACGGGUUAUUUUUUAUUAUUAGCAAACAGGUAUUAUAAAUUAAAAUUUUGCAAUUUAACCGUUUUUUAUAAUGGCGUUAAUACGUAUUAAACCAAUAUAAAUUUAAUUCGGUUAGGCCGUAUAAUAAUUUGUAAAUUUUUAAAUACGUGUUUCGUGGGUAUUUAUAUUAUAAUUUUUUUAAUAUUUACACCAAAACGUUUUUUAUUAAUUGGUUUUUCGAUUGGGUAUACGCCUAAUUUAUAUUCCGGAUUAUAAAUUUGUAUCCGUAACGCUCUAUUAAAUUUGGUGCGAUCGAAAAAAUUAAACGUUAGUUGCAUUUUAUAAUUAUUAA
rnacentral:sRNA from 1 species